UACAUGUGACCAAAGUGCUGUUAGGA
rnacentral:piRNA from 1 species